GUCCUUCAGCUCAGUUGGCUAGAGCAAGGUGUUGAUAUCGCCAAGGCUGCAGGUUUGAUCCCUGUAUGGGGCA